GUUUCCGGGGUCUGCGCGCGCGGGCGUGGGUUCGCGGGCCGCUGCGGCGGCGCUUCCGGGGCGCUGGGUGAGUGUCCCCGCCGCCGCGGCCCCGCGCUCCCCUCCCUCAGGCGAGGACGCCGAGGGGCCCCCGAGGCUGGAGAAUCUUAAAAAAAAAAAAAGUGGUGACUUACGCACCUCGGCGCGGUGGAGACGGAAGCCUCGGCCUUCCCGACCGGACACCACGAAGGCUGCGCCCGUCGGCCGACCCCGGGGGCGACCGGACGCCAGGCCCGCUGCGCUCUGAAGUAAUACACGCGGUCAAGUCACAGAGAGAGAGAGAAUGAGGCAGAGGGAGAAGCAGGCUCCAUGCACCGGGAGCCCGACGUGGGAUUCGAUCCCGGGUCUCCAGGAUCGCGCCCUGAGCCAAAGGCAGGCGCCAAACCGCUGCGUCACCCAGGGAUCCCCAUGAUCGCUUUUAAAUUAGGACUCGGGAGAGGAUCCAGUGAAAAGUCAGGGUGUAGGGGAAACAGAGUUACGGAAAAGUAGCAGGUGUAUUGAGGGAGGUAGUGCAGACCCUGUGCAACUAAGAAUGAGGUGCUGGGAGAGAUAGUGGCAGGUGGCACAGAGGAGCAGCCUGUCCCGCAGCUUCAUGGGGUAGCUCACAAAGGUUUACCAGACAGUUCAGAAACAUUCAAGAUAUUUUUGUGCCCCUAGUCUGCCUACUCAAGGACAGACUGUCCAGAGUGACUGCUACCAGCUAAUCAGAUAACCCAUAAAAACUGUACAAACAGGGAUGCCUGGGUGGCCCCCUGGUUGAGCACCUGCCUUUGGCUCGGGGCGUGGUCCUGGAGUUCUGGGAUCGAGUCCCACAUCAGGCUCCCUGCAUGGAGCCUGCUUCUCCCUCUGCCUGUGUCUCUGCCUCUCUCUGUCUCUCUCAUGAAUAAAUAAGAUUUUUUUAAAAAAUUAAAAAAAAAAUGUACAAACAAGAUGCACUCUUCUCAGACUACAAUUAUUUUUCUCUCCUUUUUUCCCCCGUUUUAAUAAAUCCUGUUUUGCCUCUGUGGGGUGAAAUCCAUUUACUAAUUUAUCCUCUUUGUAAAUAAGUAAACAUUGUGCUAUAAUUUAGUGUAUUUGUGACUUUGGGUUAUACUUUGACACUGCUCUGCCUUGUUUCCUUUCUUAAAGAAUCCAUACAAGAAAGGUAGCAUUUGCUAUUUGCAACAGAAAAUUAGAAAGUUACUUAAAACUACUGCUACCUCUGAACCUUUUUUCUUUUGUUGCAUAUACAAAGGACUUUUAUCUCCACUGCUUGAAGCAUCCCCAUCCCUAGCUUUGAUUGUUCCUGUCAAGGGGAUCAUUUUCCACCAAUAAUAACCUGCCCAUCCUUGAAACUCCAUUCAAGCUUACCUCAUGUAGAUUGCAUUAGCAUUUUAAUGCAUUUAAUAAUCCUAAACAAGGACCCAGGAUCACAGGGUUGACUCCCUCAUGAUGGAGACAUAUAUUAAUUGCCAGACUGCCUCCUCCCAUCUCCUAUGCAUGACCUUCCCUUAUCACCUUACCGUUCUAACAGUCCUCAAUUUCUAUAGCUCCUAUGACCUUUACCGUGCAAAUUAGAAUUUACCUUCUAUCUUUAACUUUCUUGGUUGUUUUAUGCAGAUUAGUCUCCUCAUGCCAAGUAGGCAAGGAUGGCUGCAUCCUUGGCAUCUACUAUAGUAGGCCAGUGACUAUCUCAUUGGAGAUUGUAAUGAAUUUGAUUACUUGAGUUAAAUGAAAAAUGUAAAAGAUUUAACCAAAAUGAAUAGUAUGACUAUGCUAGUAUUUCAUUUUGAGUUGAGUGGAUUAUGUAUUAUAGGUAUGAAUCAUUUUGUUUGCAUAUUAGAAUAUAGGAUUUGGAGUACAUGACAAAGCCUGUUCUGUUGGCAGUUGACAUCGGCCUCACUACAGAGCAAAAGGUAUGUCAGUAACAUGACCAUAUGGAAAAAUACUCGCAAGAAAUGCCAUGAAAAUCCAGGAGGGGGGCAGCCCAGGUGGCUCAGCAGUUUAGUGCUGCUUUCAGCCCAGGGCCAGAUCCUGGAGACCCGGGAUCGAGUCCCACGUCGGGCUUCCUGUGUGGAGCCUGCUUCUCCCUCUGCCUAUGUCUCUGCCUCUCUGUGUGUCUCUCAUGAAUAAAUAAAUAAAAUCUUUAAAAAAAGAAAAUCCAGGAGGUAAUUUUCAUUUGCCACAGGACAAGGAGUUUAACAAAAGUUCAAACAUAAAUUAGUAUAGUCAAAUAGGAACGAUUUUACUAAAGUGUAUAGUAAGUACUGGAAAAUUUAGGAAAUACCCACUGUUGUUACUCUUGAACAACAAGGUUGCUUUUGGUGGGAGCCAGGCUACUCAUGCUGUUUGACAAAGUCCAGGCAUGGGAGUUAAUCCUGAAAAUCAGGAGAAGCCACAGCUGGCUCCCAUGGAUUCCUUUCACUUUGUUUUUGGCCAUCUUUAGCAUCAUUAUAAUACUAUUGGGGAAUUUCCAUAAAAUAAAUAUGGAGUCUAAAAAUAAUUAAAAUUUCCAACAUGCUUCUUGGAAUAAAACCCAAUGCCCCCCACCCCCCACUCUGUAAUUCCUCUAAUAUGAGAAAUGCUGAGUUUUUUUAUCAGUUAAGGGUAAAAUAAAUCUGGGAACCUAGCCCAGUUAAAGCUGUCAUGGAAGAAGUCCUUCAGGUACCUCUUAAGCGUCAAGUUAAAGAGACAACAGUUAACCAGUGGAACACAUGAUAAAAUAAGUUGUGGGUACUGUAAACUGCUAGAAGAAAGUUAAACAUUUCUGUAUAUAACCUUUAAAAUAAUAACCCCUUUCAUGUAACCAUAUUACCAUAGACUUGUUUUUCCACUAGAAUAGGCCACGCUCUGUCUAGCACUUUUGUCUUUUACAUCACACUCACUGCUUUCUCAAGAAAUCAAUAAAGGUCAUGUUCAUUAUAGCAGUCGAAACUGAAAGGAAAAAUAUUUCGUAUGAAAAAGAUGUUUCUUAAUCUUUAGAAUGAUCUAAGAUGUUUGCGAUAAAAUGUAAAAUGUAAUUAUUUACUAAAAAAGAAACUGGAAAAGCAAGGCAAUGUAAAAUGGUAUAAAUAAAGCCCCUCCGAAAUGAUCA